rnacentral:lncRNA from 1 species
CCCGGUCUGGCAGGGAGUAGUAACCACCGCACGGACGACCCAUAUGCGGCCCGGGUGAGUGGAGGGCAUCAUAAGGGCUGUGGGAGCCGGGGUUCCGGAAGCGGAGGCUGGGCGCAAGUCCCCGGUGACGGUUGUGGGUCGAGGGUCCUGGCUGUCUCACCCAUUCCGCUCCGGGAGCCCCGGGGCGCGCCCCGCGGAGCAGCCCUCCUCCAGCCAGCAGGGGGCGCUGAGGAGAAGGCGGGUGGGGAGGGUCGCGGUCCGAGGAGCUGCCACUCCCCGGUACUCUCCCGGAGUCGGGACCGAGGCUGCAGCUCGCCCAUUCGUCCGCAGCUAGGCUCCCGGAAGCGGCCCAGGCGGGAUACGGGACCCGGAGUCCCGGAGAGAGGUCCCGACCGCGUCCGCAGCACCGCACUCCGCGCUUGCCCGGAAGCGCCGGCGCCGAGGGGGCGGGGCCGGGAAGCGCUUCCGGGGGCGGGGGGCGCGGGCUGGGGCGGCAGCCGGAGCGGCGGGGACGGGCCUGGCGCCGGCGGCGGCGGAGGGGGCGCCGCGGGAGGGCGAUGUGAGCGCGGCGCUCUCGGCAGGAGGAAAUGCUGUGACCAUUUAAAUGGUUUCCUGCUUUUGGCAUCACCUGGGGACCGACUGAGCACAUGGUGACACAGCUAUCCAUGGAAUACGAAGAAAUCAGAAAAGAGGAUGAAGUCGAUGAAUUUGCGCUGCUGUGAAAGGAUUUUAAGGAGUAUCAGAUACUUUUUUUUUUUUGACUGCGUUGGGUCUUCGUUGUGGCACCGUGGCCUUUUUCCUGUUGCUCAGCACAGGCUCCAGAGCACUUGGGCUCAGUAGCUGUGGUGCAUGGGCUUUGUUGAUCCUGUAGCACGUGGGAUCUCAGUUCCCCAACCAGAGAUUGAACCUGCAUCCCCUGCAUUGGAAGGCAGAUUCUUAACCACUGGACCACCAGGGUAGCCCCUUAAAUACAUGAUUGAAAAGCAGCCUACAGGACAGUUUAUGCUGAUAUGUGUUUAUAGUUUUCUCUGAAAGAACACCCACAAAUGCUUCCCAGUGGUUAUCUUUGGAAGAAGAGACCGGAGGAGAAUGAAGAUGCCCACUUUAUAUUUUUCUGUACUAUAGUUUGAAGUUUGACCAUAUGCAUAUAUGUUACUUUAAAGAUAAAAUUAAACGUUGAUCUAACUUAGGUGUGGGCCCGCUGUCAUCCCAUUCACAGGAGAGGUCAAGACCCUCGAGGAACCAGUGAUUAGCCCAUGCUGGGAAUGGCUAAUACAGAGGAUACAGAGGAGUAUGGAGGGUUCUGCUUGAAUUUGAUGUCUCUCUAAGAAGUUCUGACUUCCGUUGCUUCCGGACCGCUGGACCUGAUAAGUCAGGCCUGGGUGUAGACUUGUGAUUAGUUAUGCCUUUACUCCCUUUAACCUGGUAAUGUGACUAGGACUUAAAUUCCCUGUAAUUUCCUUGUGUGUCAGUCUCUGAGAAUCUUCCUCCUUGAGUGUUGGCUUGUUAGCAGCUUGAGGCUGAACUCUGAAUGUCACUGUCACAGCCGAAAGGAGGUGUCAGUGUCAAGGAGAGAGUGGAGCACUUCCUUUCUCAUUUUGCAGAAAAAUGGAAUUCCUCUCUUAGGUGUUAGUCGUGGUCUUUUCAUUUUUCU